GAGUUUGGAGGGUGCCGGUCAACGAAGCCACGCGAGGUAUUUGAAAGGCAAUCAGCCCGACCGUCCCCCUAGAUUCAUCGUUUUGCGAGGUGGCUGUGACCGCUGUCGACAAGUGCUUUCUCAGCCACAACCCAGCUGAAAGAGUUAAGGGGCCGGGAGGAGGAGUGCGCCCGGUAGGCGGGAGAAGAGGGGGUGGUGUGGUGUGUGUGUGUGUGGGGGGGGGGACGCGGCCAAGCGGAAACGCCGCACAGAGGAACCUCAUCGAACCAAGAAAAAAGAGAAAGUGGCAACGAAAACAAGGACAAAUUAAAUCCUCCUUGGGGAUUUCCAAUGAACUAACCCAAUUCGGACAUUCAAUAAAUACACGACUCUUAAUGAGUGUGCGUGUGCUUGCACCCCGCACCCUCAGCUGCAGGGCACCGGACCGCAAUCUGCAGUUCCCAGCCCAAGCAGCAGCCGAGAACGUAACCGGGCGGUCGGUGUGCUCCGAAUAUAAAGAACUGGCCUGCCUUCUCCCCGAUGCAUAAUUUCUCUAGAGAGCUCACUUCUGUGAACUCAGUUACAGAGGGAGCUCUCCAGCUCAGCAGCAGCCUCGCAGCCUCUGCGUGAUCUCGAGAUUAACCGUAGACGCGGGGCAUUUAUGUAGGAUCGGGUCCAGCUUCUGCUUGCCGGGGUGAAAAGAUACCAUCGUAGAAACAGAUCUAAAAGGCAGCAGUAACCAAAGCCCCAAAACAGAACGGAUUCCCCCCCUCCAUUCCAAAAGGUUCCUUUUUAUAUUUAUAUAUGCGUAUAUGUAUAUAUAAAAGAUGGAACACAGAUUUCAUUGAAUAAAUCUGAGAUCUCCAGGUGCAGACGUUUGAAUAGUCGGUGCCAGCACCCCGUGUUUUCCUUUCCUGCCGAUUUUGCUUGGAUCCGGCUCAAAAACCGAAAGAGUCUCGUGGUUUUGUUUACACUGAAUGGGGAGGAUAGGAACAGAGCCAUGGGGCCGCCUUUCAUUAAUAUACAGUGAGGAUUUUGUCUAAAUUACUGCUAUGAGUUUCACAGUACACGCUUUCAAAAGCCGUCUCAGGUGGCCUGAUGAAACGGGAUAGCGCCUCAGCAAACAGAUCCACUUUCUCUCUUUGCAAGGAGGGUGUGCACGUUCGGGAAGCCCCCCAAACGCUGUGCUCCUCAAUAACAGAAACGCACUUCUGUUCCCAGGUCUGUCCCCUUCUCUCCCCCCACCCCCCACGUACUUAGUUCUCAAAUCGCUCCCCAGUUUCCCCCCCUCCCGCCCCACCCAAUCCUCCCCCUCCCUCUGCGGAGUGUGAUUGUUUUGUCUGGAAAAAAAAUCCAAAGUAUAUAACAAGGGGAGAACAGUUAGUGCUGAUUUUCAUUUGCAUACAUUUUCAUAUAUUUUGGUGAAAAUAAUAGACGAGAGAGAACCGGGCUUAGAGGAGUCAGUGUAAAGAGAAGGCUAAGGAUAACUCGGCUCUGGAGAGUAGAGAAUAUGCCUUCUCUUCUGCCCCUCCAGGAACCUUACUUUUUUUUUUUUUUAAAC
rnacentral:lncRNA from 1 species